GAUGAAGAACGCAGCGAAAUGCGAUAAGUAAUGUGAAUUGCAGAAUUCAGUGAAUCAUCGAAUCUUUGAACGCACAUUGCGCCCGCCAGUAUUCUGGCGGGCAUGCCUGUUCGAGCGUCAUUACAACCCUCAGGCCCCCGGGCCUGGCGUUGGGGAUCGGCGGAAGCCCCCUGUGGGCACACGCCGUCCCUCAAAUACAGUGGCGGUCCCGCCGCAGCUUCCAUUGCGUAGUAGCUAACACCUCGCAACUGGAGAGCGGCGCGGCCAUGCCGUAAAACACCCAACUUCUGAAUGUUGACCUCGAAUCAGGUAGGAAUACCCGCUGAACUUAAGCAUAUCUAAGCGGAGGA
rnacentral:misc_RNA from 1 species